GCAUUGCCUUUCCUUGAUCUUCAUGUAUGUGGAAUCAUAAGUAGUGACAUGCUGCUUUGAAAUAAAGGACAUUUGAAAAUAGAAACAUGGACCUAUGAAGAUAUAAAUCGGAUGAAGAUUCUGAAGUGCCCUGAUGUUACUAUUUAUGUCUGCUUAGAUAUUCCAACUAAAUGGAAGGUCACUGGGAGGGGAUUUGGUCAACUCUGUAGAUAUAUGAGAAGCAUCUUCCAAAUGAAUUCUUGUGACAAAAUUAAUUUAACCCACAGACUAUACUGUGAUUUCCUUCUUCUUCUUACUUCUAUAUUUUGGCGUUAAGCUUCAUUUUGGUGAGGAUGGAUAUAAUAACACCAAAGAAUUAAAUCUUUCUGUGUAAAUUUGGGAUGGUUGGUUCCCUCUGCCCAGAUAUUUUUUAUGCCUAAAGUAUAGUAAUACUCUAAUAGAGAAAUGAAGAAAUGGAGAAAAAUAUACAAACAUGAAACUAUGACACAAACAGUAUUCAAAAGGGAUGACAGUGAAACAUUAUCAGCACUGGAAAUUAAAUACUUCCAAGUUCGGUAAAUAGUAGCAAAUGAUUCUCUGUGCUUGUCCCCCUUUAGCUUCUGAAGAAAGUAUUGACCACGGUGUAGAAGGAAGAAUCAUAGGACAUUACAAGACUAUUCCAACAGCUAAGUUCUUAUAUGAGUUGGGUGACCAUUCAUUCUCAUUUGUCUGAGGCAAUUCCAGUUUAUGCCUGUAGUCCUAGAUAUUAUAAACAGAGCUGCCUUUCACUCUCAAAACUAUCCUGGUAUGGACAAUAAAUUAUAUGACCACCUUACUUAUGAGGAGUGAUUAGGGUCUUUGGCAGAUGGGACUUAGCAGAGAGCAUGACAAGAGUCAUCGUGUAAGGUUUCUACAUGCACAGCACAGCUCCAUCAUUAAAAACCACCAACCAACUUUCAGCGAGCGCUUUAAAAAUUAAUUGGAGUCAUAUUAACAUUUGUGAGUGACCUGAC
rnacentral:lncRNA from 1 species